UACGGAGGAUCCGAGCGUUAUCCGGAUUUAUUGGGUUUAAAGGGUGCGCAGGCGGGAGAUUAAGUCGGCGGUGAAAUUUUGCAGCUCAACUGUAAAAGUGCCUUCGAAACUGGUUUCCUUGAGUGUGGAUGAAGUAGGCGGAAUUUGUGGUGUAGCGGUGAAAUGCAUAGAUAUCACGAGGAACUCCGAUUGCGCAGGCAGCUUACUAAACCACUACUGACGCUCAUGCACGAAGGCGUGGGGAUCAAACAGGAUUAGAUACCCCCGUA
rnacentral:rRNA from 1 species